rnacentral:sRNA from 1 species
UCCCUCACUGUUGGGGAUCGCGACCACAU